rnacentral:piRNA from 1 species
UUAACUGGACUUUGGAGUGCAUGACAGUUC